AUGAACGCUGGCGGCUUGCCUAAUACCUGCAAGUCGCGCGAACAGACGAGGAGCUUGCUCCCCUGACGUUAGCGGCGGACGGGUGAGUAACACGUGGAUAACCUACCUAUAAGACUGGGAUAACUUCGGGAAACCGGAGCUAAUACCGGAUAAUAUAUUGAACCGCAUGGUUCAAUAGUGAAAGACGGUUUUGCUGUCACUUAUAGAUGGAUCCGCGCCGCAUUAGCUAGUUGGUAAGGUAACGGCUUACCAAGGCAACGAUGCGUAGCCGACCUGAGAGGGUGAUCGGCCACACUGGAACUGAGACACGGUCCAGACUCCUACGGGAGGCAGCAGUAGGGAAUCUUCCGCAAUGGGCGAAAGCCUGACGGAGCAACGCCGCGUGAGUGAUGAAGGUCUUCGGAUCGUAAAACUCUGUUAUUAGGGAAGAACAAAUGUGUAAGUAACUAUGCACGUCUUGACGGUACCUAAUCAGAAAGCCACGGCUAACUACGUG
rnacentral:rRNA from 1 species